rnacentral:rRNA from 1 species
GAUGAGCGCUAGCUACAGGCUUAACACAUGCAAGUCGAGGGGAAACGACAUCGAAAGCUUGCUUUUGAUGGGCGUCGACCGGCGCACGGGUGAGUAACGCGUAUCCAACCUGCCCACCACUUGGGGAUAACCUUGCGAAAGUAAGACUAAUACCCAAUGAUGUCUCUAGAAGACAUCUGAAGGAGAUUAAAGCUUUAUCGGUGAUGGAUGGGGAUGCGUCUGAUUAGCUUGUUGGCGGGGUAACGGCCCACCAAGGCGACGAUCAGUAGGGGUUCUGAGAGGAAGGUCCCCCACAUUGGAACUGAGACACGGUCCAAACUCCUACGGGAGGCAGCAGUGAGGAAUAUUGGUCAAUGGGCGAGAGCUUGAACCAGCCAAGUAGCGUGCAGGAUGACGGCCCUAUGGGUUGUAAACUGCUUUUAUAAGGGAAUAAAGUGAGCCUCGUGAGGCUUUUUGCAUGUACCUUAUGAAUAAGGACCGGCUAAUUCCGUGCCAGCCGCCGCCGUAA